rnacentral:rRNA from 1 species
GUAAUAGCUCACUGGUCGAGUCGGCCCGCGCGGAAGAUGUAACGGGGCUAAACCAUGCACCGAAGCUGCGGCAGCGACACAAAGUGUUGUUGGGUAGGGGAGCGUUCUGUAAGCCUGCGAAGGUGUACUGUGAGGUAUGCUGGAGGUAUCAGAAGUGCUAAUGCUGACAUAAGUAACUAUAAUGCGGGUUAAAAACCCGCACGCCGGAAGACCAAGGGUUCCUGUCCAACGUUAAUCGGGGCAGGGUGAGUCGACCCCUAAGGCGAGGCUGAAAAGCGUAGUCGAUGGGAAACGGGUUAAUAUUCCCGUACUGGUGGUAACUGCGAUGGGGGAACGGAGAAGGCUAGGUUGUCCGGGCGACGGUCGUCCCGGUUCAAGCAGGUAGGCAGAGUGAUUAGGCAAAUCCGGUCACUUAAUGCUGAGAUGUGAUGACGAACCACCAAGGUGGUGAAGCAAUUGAUGCCCCGCUUCCAGGAAAAGCCUCUAAGCUUCAGGUUACCAACAAUCGUACCCCAAACCGACACAGGUGGUCAGGUAGAGAAUACUCAGGCGCUUGAGAGAACUCGGGUGAAGGAACUAGGCAAAAUGGUGCCGUAACUUCGGGAGAAGGCACGCUGGCGGUAGGUAAAGUCCCUCGCGGACGGCGCUGAAGCCAGUCGAAGAUACCAGCUGGCUGCAACUGUUUAUUAAAAACACAGCACUGUGCAAACACGAAAGUGGAC